UUUCACAGGUUGUUGACAAUGUGAACUCGAUUAUCGCGCGAGCUUUGAUUGGCAAGGACCCUACAACUCAAACUGAGCUCGACAACUUUAUGGUUCAGCAGCUUGAUGGAACCAAAAACGAGUGGGGUUGGUGCAAGCAGAAGCUUGGUGCUAAUGCGAUCCUGGCUGUGUCACUAGCUGUUUGCAAAGCUUGAGCCAGCGUCAAGAAGAUUCCGCUGUACCAG